rnacentral:rRNA from 1 species
AAUUUUGGACAAUGGGGGAAACCCUGAUCCAGCCAUCCCGCGUGUAUGAUGAAGUCCUUCGGGUUGUAAAGUACUUUUGGCAGAGAAGAAAAGGUAUCUCCUAAUACUAGAUACUCCUUACGCUAUCUUCAGAACAAGCCCCGGCUAACUACGUGCCAGCAGCCGCGGUAAUACGUAGGGUGCAAGCGUUAAUCGGAAUUACUGGGCGUAAAGCGUGUGUAGGCGGUGCGGAAAGAAAGAUGUGAAAUCCCAGGGCUAAACCUUGGAACUGCAUUUUUAACUGCCGAGCUAGAGUAUGUCAGAGGGGGGUAGAAUUCCACGUGUAGCAGUGAAAUGCGUAGAUAUGUGGAGGAAUACCGAUGGCGAAGGCAGCCCCCUGGGAUAAUACUGACGCUCAGACACGAAAGCGUGGGGAGCAAACA